CUGCGCUGCCAACAGGGGGGCUAUAACUGUAUUUGGCUUUGGAAGAGUGCUGCUGCCUCAGCCGACAGAGGGCAGCGUUGCCUACCCAAGCAGCAGCGCUCCGACAGAGCGGGGUAAGCCCAGCACAGCACUCCGGCGGGGCCAGCGAGCAGCAGAGGGGCGCGAGUGGUAACAACCGAUCAGACCAGCACAGGACGUGAGCCUAGCUCGGGAGAGGGACUCCUAGGAGCACACACUCGCGCACCCCGAACAAGACAUCCUGCUAUUUGCAGAACUGCACGAUCGGACAGUUCGGACUUUCGCUUAAACAGGGGGAAAGCAGCCUCUGCAGUCAGUCUCCUACUAGGGCCCACCAAGUCCCACCACUUAAUCGAGACAGCCAGAGUGCAGGUGCUGGAGGAUUGCAUUUCUGCAGGAAGAUAAUUCGUACAGGAGGAAAAUGUUCAAAAAUGGCCUUCCCCCACCUGCAACCUGAAGUGGUUAGAAUCCAUUCUAUUUGUUCGGAAUUCUAGCACCUGAUUCUGCUACAUGUGAAGACCAGGCCUUACUUGCAAGUGCAUGUGUAGGGCUUGGCCCCAUGUCUGGCCUUGGCAGUUACAGGAGAGCAAAGUAGCAGGAAGAGUUUGACAUAAAAUGUAAGUUGUCAUCAAACAUUGGCAAUAAUGAUCCAGGAAGGGACACAGCUGUCUGUGAAAGUCAAAGCUUGUACAGAAUCUUUAUCUAUAUAUUUAAUUCUCUUAAGCAUA